rnacentral:rRNA from 1 species
UACGUAGGGCGCAAGCGUUAUCCGGAAUUAUUGGGCGUAAAGAGCUCGUAGGCGGUUUGUCGCGUCUGCCGUGAAAGUCCGGGGCUCAACUCCGGAUCUGCGGUGGGUACGGGCAGACUAGAGUGAUGUAGGGGAGACUGGAAUUCCUGGUGUAGCGGUGAAAUGCGCAGAUAUCAGGAGGAACACCGGUGGCGAAGGCGGUUCUCUGGGCAUUACCUGACGCUGAGGAGCGAAAGCAUGGGGAGCGAACAGG